rnacentral:rRNA from 1 species
GCAACUCGACUACAUGAAGCUGGAAUCGCUAGUAAUCGCAGAUCAGAAUGCUGCGGUGAAUACGUUCCCGGGUCUUGUACACACCGCCCGUCACACCAUGGGAGUCGGAAAUGCCCGAAGCCGGUGACCCAACCAAAAGGAGGGAGCCGUCGAAGGCAGGUCUGAUAACUGGGGUGAAGUCGUAACAAGGUAUC